rnacentral:rRNA from 1 species
UACGUAGGGUGCGAGCGUUAAUCGGAAUUACUGGGCGUAAAGCGUGCGCAGGCGGUUUUGUAAGACCGAUGUGAAAUCCCCGGGCUCAACCUGGGAACUGCAUUGGUGACUGCAAGGCUUGAGUGUGUCAGAGGGAGGUGGAAUUCCGCGUGUAGCAGUGAAAUGCGUAGAUAUGCGGAGGAACACCGAUGGCGAAGGCA